GACAGAGGUGCCGAGCGUUAGGCGGAAUCACUGGGCCUAAAGCGUGUGUAGGCGGGCGAUCAAGUACCUUGUGAAAUCCCACGGCUCAACCGUGGAACCGCUGGGUAUACUGGUUGUCUUGAGCCGGCUAGGGGCGAGCGGAACAGACGGUGGAGCGGUGAAAUGCGUAGAUAUCGUCUGGAACGCCGAAGGUGAAAACAGCUCGCUGGGGCCGCGCUGACGCUGAGACACGAAAGCCAGGGGAGCGAACGGG
rnacentral:rRNA from 1 species